UACGAAGGGUGCAAGCGUUACUCGGAAUUACUGGGCGUAAAGCGUGCGCAGGCGGUUUUGUAAGUCUGUCGUGAAAUCCCCGGGCUCAACCUGGGAAUGGCGAUGGAGACUGCAAGGCUAGAGUUUGGCAGAGGGGGGGUAGAAUUCCACGUGUAGCAGUGAAAUGCGUAGAUAUGUGGAGGAACACCGAUGGCGAAGGCAGCCCCCUGGGUCAAAACUGACGCUCAUGCACGAAAGCGUGGGGAGCAAACAGG
rnacentral:rRNA from 1 species